GGGAAGCAAAAAGCUGCAAGGCGCUCGAGGGGGGUUAGUUUACCGAAGUAGGAAUAUAGUAAGUAACCGCGGGGGGAAAGUCGUGAGAGCGGUGCAGAUAAAGCACAGGCGGUGGACUAAGCUGCAGAGCGGUCGCUUGAACCGGGAUUUCUCAAAGGCGCAAAUCUUUUUAGCAUUCUUAAAGACGGGGAUGCUGCCUGCUUGGAAGCGUGUCAACUCCCGGGUAAAACCUGCCGGUUCUGUAGUGCAUGUUCCCUGGCUAUUCCGAGGAUUUGUGGGUCCCGGUCAUUAAGGCAAAAAUCCAAAAUGUAUUUACCACAUAGGAAGCCUCAUUGAAUUCUGUGAAACUUACCUCUGAGCAAACAUGCAUAGGAUCCUAUUGCAGUGCUUGUAUAUAGCUGAAAUUGUGGAUUUUUCUUGUUUUUAUUACACAGUUAUUCUUUUAGAACAUCUUAUGUACAUAGUCUUUGAGGCAAAGAAGUUUACAGAAAAUGAAAAUAAACAGUCAUCCAACAAAACAUAA